rnacentral:antisense_RNA from 1 species
UACCCCCUUCACUCCCGGCCGUAGGGGGUCGGAGUAGGUCCAGCACGAGUGACCCCCCCGGGGCUGUGGAAUCUGAAACUUUUCCUUCUCUACUGCUUGUUCUCCCUUCCUCCAUCCCUCACCCCGAAGCGGGAAGCAGCUUUCUCUUCCCAGCUUCCAUCCAGUCUAUGAGUAGACCGGUCGCAGCUUAGAUGCUGGGAACGCCUCAGAACACAUUUCUUUGCCCUUCACGGCCACUACCGGUAUUGGGGUAUGCGAGUCGCAGGGCCGUUCGUUGCUCACAGGUCGAGCUGGUCUGGACUCUGUUCGACCACGAAUCAUGACUCCUUCCUGCCAGUUAUGUCCCCUCCGCACCCUUGCCCAGCCAUUUUACCAGGCCUCUCCACAUUGCGCUGCCCCACGGACCUUAUCAAGCUUGAAGAUCUUUAAAAAGAAAAGUAAAAGUAAUGCAAGAAAACAAAAAAGAUUGUCAGUGAAAGAUAUAUAAUUGCAUUAAGAUGUGACCCUAAUCUUUCCCCAGUCAAGCGUGUACUACUAUUUCACAGCAUUUUC